rnacentral:rRNA from 1 species
AUGAAGCGCUCCAGGGAGGACGCGCUCGCCGCCGCCGGGUCGCAGCCCAGCAAGCGCAUCAGCACCAGCAGCGCCGCCGCCGCCGUCGCUCGAUCCGAUCCGUCGCCGCCGCAGCCCAUGCCUCCGGCGGGGUCGGGGUCGGCGCUGGUGCCGGCGCCGCCGCCCCAGGCCGUGGCCGCCCUGCCGGCGCAGCCGUCCGGCGGGUCUGGGGCCGCCACUGCUGCUGCCGCCGCCGCCGCCGGCCAGAAGCUGACGACCAACGACGCCCUCGUCUACCUCAAGGCCGUCAAGGACAAGUUCCAGGACAACCGCGCCAAGUACGAGGAGUUCCUCGAGGUCAUGCGCGACUUCAAGAGCGAGAGGAUCGAUACCAACGGGGUGAUUAUCCGCGUGAAGACCCUCUUCAACGGGUACCCCGAGCUGAUCCUCGGGUUCAACACCUUCUUGCCCAAGGGCUUCGCAAUCAGGCUGCAGCAGGAUGAGAAGAAGCCUGUGGAUUUCGCGGAGGCCAUCAACUUCGUGAACAAGAUAAAGAGUCGGUUCCAGCGUGACGAGCAUGUGUACAAGUCCUUCCUGGACAUUCUCAACAUGUACCGCAAGGAUAACAAGUCCAUCCAAGAUGUUUACCAUGAGGUUGCUGUGCUGUUCAGCGACCACAAAGACUUGCUCGAAGAAUUCCAGCACUUCUUGCCUGACACCUCAGCGUCUCCGCAAGCAGGGACCGCUCCAAGAGGCGGCUUAGUUAAGCGGGAAGCUCUAAUGCCCCCUGCUAGUAGGGGUCACAUUGAAAAGCCUAGGGCUUUUCCAUCUCAUACCGACCGUGACGCCAGUGUCGAUCGUCCUGAUGUGGACCAUGAUCGCCAAAGACAACGGGAGAAGAACAAGGAACGCAAGGCAGAAAGAGAGAGAAGGGAUUAUGAUAGAGAUGAUAAGGAUGGUGAACAAGACAGCAAAGAGCUGGAUGUUGGCCAGCGUAAGCGCAAACCUUUUCCAAGCGCAAACCUUGUAGGUGCUGAGGCACACCAAGGAGGCCACCCUGAGAUUCAUGGAAUUAAUAGUGCCUCUGCCUCAUCGUAUGAUAAUAAGGAUGCGUUAAAGAGUGGAUACACACAGGAGUUCCAUUUCUGCGAAAAAGUCAAGGAUAAGCUGGAAUAUGAUGCUUACCAGGAGUUCUUGAAAUGUCUUCACAUAUACAGCCAGGAAAUUAUUACGAGGAGUGAACUGAAGAACUUGGUGAGCGAUAUACUACAACACUACCCCGAUCUUAUGGAUGGAUUUAAUGAAUUCUUGGAACAUUGUGAAAAUAUAGAUGGAUUUCUGGCUGGAGUCUUCAGUAAAAAGCAACCUGGAAGGCUAAUCAAGACAGAGGAUAAAGAAAGAGAUAAGGAGCAUGAGAGGGAGGAUAGGAACAGAGAUCGGGACAAGGAAAGAGAAAAGGAACGGGAAAGACUACAUCCAAAGGAAGGUUCUAGCCAGAAACCCUCGGUUGUCAAAGAGAAGUAUCUAUGCAAACCAAUAUCAGAGCUUGAUCUCUCAAAUUGUCAGCGAUGCACUCCAAGUUACCGGCUUCUACCUAAAAAUUACCCAAUGCCUCCGGCAGGCAACAAGACUGAUCUUGGUGCCUCGGUUCUUAAUGAUCACUGGGUGUCAGUGACAUCAGGGAGUGAAGACUAUUCCUUUAAGCACAUGCGCAAGAAUCAGUAUGAAGAAAGUUUAUUUAGAUGCGAAGAUGACAGGUUCGAAUUGGAUAUGCUGUUGGAAUCAGUUAAUGCAGCAACUAAGCGUGUCGAGGAGUUGAUAGAAAAAAUGCAAGAUAACUCAGUAAAACCAGAAAGCCCAAUACGCAUCGAUGAGCACUUGACUCCUUUGAAUCUAAGGUGCAUUGAACGGUUAUAUGGUGACCAUGGUCUGGAUGUGAUGGACGUUCUUCGAAGAAAUGCUAGUGUUGCACUGCCUGUUAUCUUAUCCAGGCUAAAACAAAAGCAGGAGGAAUGGUCAAGGUGUCGAUCAGAUUUCAACAAGGUUUGGGCUGAUAUUUACGCCAAGAAUUAUCACAAGUCACUUGAUCAUCGCAGUUUCUAUUUCAAGCAGCAAGACUCGAAGAAUCUCAGCACAAAAUCUCUACUGACUGAGAUUAAAGAAAUUAAUGAGAAGAAAAGAAAGGAAGACGAUGUUCUCAUUGCUAUCGCUGCUGGAAAUAGGCGGCCUAUAGUUCCCAAUAUGUCAUUUGAGUAUGUAGAUGCAAAUAUCCAUGAUGAUCUUUAUAAGAUCGUGAAGUACUCGUGUGGAGAAGUCUGUGGCUCAGACCAACUGGACAAAGUGAUGAAGAUUUGGACAACUUUUCUGGAGCCUAUUUUGGGCAUUCCGCCUCGAUCCCACGGUACUGUGGAUGCAGAUCUAACUAAACCCAAGAAUGGGAUCACAAAAUCUGGUACUGCAAUUAUGGGGGAAAGCAAUACUUCUCCUGAUGGAGUUGCUGCCCAGCAAGGCCAUGGUGAUGAAAGCAUGCAACAGGAACAAGCACCAUCAGCUGUGGCUAGAUUGUCUAGGUUAGCGAAAGGAGUUGCAGCAGACUCCCAAAAUGGUUCGCAUGAUGCAGAUCGAACUGCUCGUAGAGAUGAGGAAGCAUCAAAUGCUGCACUAAAUGAAGUAUCUGCAGUAAGCACCCAGAACAUGCCUACUGGAAGACCAGCAGGACAACAUAGCCAUAUGAAGGGAAACUCUGAAACUACGCCAGGAGUGAAUGCAUCUAAAAGUUCACAUGCUGGAGUUAGUAUGGCUGCCGGUGCCAGGGCUGGCCAUGAAGUAUUACCAUCUACUGAGGGUGGAGAGACUGGCAAGUCAGGAUCAUCUUUAAAUUGUGGGGCUACCAGCGAGGGUAACAAGGGGCGCCUAUUUAAUGAAGCUGCUGCGCCCCACAAUACUUCGAAAGUUGAAAGAGAGGAAGGUGAAUUAUCGCCUAAUGGAGAUUUUGAAGAGGACAAUUUUGUGCCUUUCGAAGAUGGUGCAUCUAAAACAAAGGAAGGCUCUACAAGCAGAACGUUCAAGGUUAGACCUGGUCAGGUGGAACCUCAUGCUGAGGCAGCCGGCGAGAAUGAUGCUGAUGAUGAGGAAAGCACUCAAAGGUCUACCGAGGACAGUGAAAAUGCUUCUGAGGCUGGUGAAGAUGCAUCAGGAAGUGAAUCUGGUGACGGUGAGCACGGUUCUCCUGAAGAUCAUGACGAGGAAGAAGAUAUGGAUCAUGAUCAGGAUCCGAAGGCAGAAAGUGAGGGUGAGGCAGAGGGGACAACUGAGACCCACGACGUUGAAGGGGGAAUGUCAUUACUUGGAAUAUCAUUACCUUCAUCAGAACGCUUUCUGUACUCGGCUAAACCACUGGCCAAGCAUGUACCCACAUCUUUACAUGGCCGGGAAGAUAGAUCGUCGCAUAUAUUUUAUGGGAAUGAUUCGUUUUACAUCUUGUUCAGGCUGCACCAGAUGCUGUAUGAAAGACUGCUUUCAGCAAAGACAAACUCUUCAAGUGCUGAAAAGAAAUGGAGAACCUCCAAGGAUACAAACCCCCCUGACCUAUAUGCAAGGUUCAUAAAGGCACUCUACAACUUGCUUGAUGGUACUUCUGAUAAUACCAAGUUUGAGGAUGACUGCCGUGCUAUUAUCGGGACCCAGUCAUACGUUCUCUUUACUUUGGAUAAACUGAUAUACAAAGUUGUGAAGCAGCUUCAAGCUAUAGCGACGGAUGAAAUGGACAGCAAGCUUCUCCAGCUUUAUAUGUAUGAGAAGUCAAGAUCCCCUGGGAGGUUCUUUGAUCUCGUCUAUCAUGAAAACGCCCGUGUCCUACUCCAUGAUGAGAGCAUGUAUCGAUUCGAAUGUCGCUCAAGUCCAAUGAGGUUGUCUAUUCAGCUGAUGGAGUAUGGUCAUGAAAAGCCUGAGGUGACUGCGGUAUCCAUUGAGCCAAAUUUUGCCUCGUAUCUUUUCAGCGAGUAUCUGUCAAAUUCGUCAGGCACGAUGUUGCCUGAAGGUGUCUUCCUUGGAAGGCCAUGGAUGGUAUCAAAGUUGCUAAUGGUCUUGAAUGCAAGAUAUCCUGCAAGACCUCUAAGGUCUCCUAUGUCCUUGACACCGAAGAUUUCUUGUUUCGGUUGA